AGAGUUUGAUCCUGGCUCAGAUUGAACGCUGGCGGAAUGCUUUACACAUGCAAGUCGAGCGGCAGCGCGGGGCAACCUGGCGGCGAGCGGCGAACGGGUGAGUAAUGCAUCGGAACAUGUCCAUGUCGUGGGGGAUAGCCCGGCGAAAGCCGGAUUAAUACCGCAUACGCCCGAGAGGGGAAAGCAGGGGACCGCAAGGCCUUGCGCGAUUGGGUUGGCCGAUGUCCGAUUAGCUUGUUGGUGAGGUAAAGGCUUACCAAGGCGAUGAUCGGUAGCUGGUCUGAGAGGAUGAUCAGCCACACUGGGACUGAGACACGGCCCAGACUCCUACGGGAGGCAGCAGUGGGGAAUCUUGGACAAUGGGGGCAACCCUGAUCCAGCCAUUCCGCGUGAGUGAAGAAGGCCUUCGGGUUGUAAAGCUCUUUUGUCCGGAGCGAAACGGGCGGCCCUAAUACGGUCGUCUACUGACGGUACCGGAAGAAUAAGCACCGGCUAACUACGUG
rnacentral:rRNA from 1 species